GCGCUGGGCACUUGGAAGACUUGGAGGAAAUUCAUGCUCGGCGAGACGCAGCCUGCGCGAGCUGAGCGGCGCCGCUGGGGAAUCGCGCUCCGGCCGCCGUCGGCGGGACGUCUCGGAUAGUCUGCAGCGGGACGCGCUUGCCCGGCCUGGCUUUGGCCAGGGAGCAGCCCUCUGGCCCCGGGGUUACACCAGCAGAGCAGCGUUGGCUUAACCUCCCUUUCAGCACUAGGGUGUAAGAUGGUAAUACAUGACUGUACCGACACCUACGAUGGAUAAUGGUAAACACUAAUGUGUAAUUCAGCUAAUGUACUUCACCAUAGGAAUCGAUGGAUAUAUGAAAAUGUAUACUUUGAACAACAUGAUACAUAGCAACAGAGUCAUUGCGUCGUUGAGGAUUUGGGAGAUUGUGGCAUAUGCUAUAAUAAUAGUUACAGUGUCCCCCGUCAUCUGCAGGCGAUCCGGUUCCCCUUCACCGUUGAUCUCGUUCCCGGACACUCUGAACAAGAUGUCUGAGAUAGUCUCUCGCGCGAAAUUCUGUUCCCGGCUCCCCGUCGCGCGAAAUUCUGUUCCCGGCUCCCCCAAAAGCAACACAAUACACACCAUAUGCUACAACAAAGGAAAUUUUAUUUAAAAAUAAAACUUUGUUUUGUUUUGUUUCUUUUAUUGAC
rnacentral:lncRNA from 1 species